rnacentral:tRNA from 1 species
CAGGGAGACAAAACUGAUUUUGAUGUCUAAAUCUUUUAUUUUAGGCCAUAAUCCUGUCACCUUAGGUCGAUCGGUACCUCAGAUUGAUAUCCAACAUCUGAUUAAUUAAUCACUAAUUUUGGGUUUCAGUUUCAGUUCCUAGACUUGUCUAGGUCACACCCAACAAAGGGUACUCCUGGGCCAUUAGCUCAGGUGGUUAGAGCGCACCCCUGAUAAGGGUGAGGUCCCUGGUUCAAGUCCAGGAUGGCCCAUUCGGUGUUGGGGGUAUAGCUCAGUUGGUAGAGCGCCUGCUUUGCAAGCAGGAUGUCAGCGGUUCGAGUCCGCUUACCUCCACUGAUACCUCCUGAUGGCGAAUCUUGAUGGAGAUUUUUGUGGGAUGUGAUUUAGGAUUGUUUCUUUAAUGAAUAGAACCUAGCUUCUUAUCAUCCCCUCUAAAUAAUUCGUUUGGAAGAUAAGACGCUGGGCUCUCUGCAAGUAAAAUUUGCAGAAAUGUUCAGUAGAACCUUGACAACUGCAUAGGUAAGUCUGAAAAAAGUAAAGCAUCUCAUAGAUGCAUUAUUUAUAUCGGAUAAAUGGUUUUUUUUAAAACUAUUUAUAGCGGUAUCUAAAUAAUGUUUAAUUCUUGAGCAAGAGCCGAGACUCUAUAACGCUCUUUCAUUGACUUGGUUUCAAUGAGAGUUUGAUUUCUGGUUUAGAUUUUGGCCUUAUUUAAAGGUUUCUAAAUCACUAAAAAUGGUGUUAACAACACUAAGGCGUUAUAGAGAUUUAAU